rnacentral:lncRNA from 1 species
AUUCUAUAUGCAUAUUUUAAUUGAUUUAAAAAUAGUUAAGAAAAAUAAAAAUAAAAGCCUUUGUCCCUUUCUUUGGGGAAGAAACAUAAAGUAACAUUUGGUGAAGGAGAAGAAGGAAGUGGUGAGUAUUCUCUUCUUCCUCUUUGUUUUUUCUUUCCCUUUCUCUCAGUCUCUUUCUCUCUUUCUUUAUUUAUCUCUACCUUCUAUUGAGUGAAGGUGUAGCAAAAAGGUGAGUUCCUUUUUGUUGGUAUUUUUGUUUGCUUCUCCAGUUUUAGGAUGCAUGUUUACAAUAGCAUCAACAAUAGAGAACAUAUGAUGACCAUUGUAUUUUAAUCUAUCAUUUAUAGAUACUAUUUCACAUGAUUAUAGUAACUUUAUGUUGAUUAGGGUUAGUUUUUCCCCAUUCUGUUUAGUUUCUAAUAAUACACUAAUUUUAUGUUAAAUUGGUGUGUAUAUAUAUAUAUAUAUACAUAAUUUUACAUAUUCAUGCGGAUUAAAUUACAAUGUUACAUUAGUUAUGUGCAAAAAUGGGUUAUCAAGAUAACUCAUUGUUUGGGUGUAACUACUGACCAAAGUUUUUAUGAGGUUUUUGGUGUUUUAGUACUUCUAUUAAUUAGUACUGGUAUGCUAUGAUGAUGUUAAUAUCAUCAGGAAUUGGUUCUAGUGUUGGAGGAACACAAGUAAGCUUACGUGGAGCUCAAACAUCUAACCAUAAUAUUCAAGGUGAGAGAGACUUUAUUUAUGGCCCUUGUGGUCUUGGUCUUUGUGUCAUAGCAUGGUCCGAUGACCUCAAAGUCGGAUGCAAGCUUGUAUUAUCUUUGUUUUUGUGUGUGUAUAAUAAUCAAUAUUGAGAACAGUAUAGUUAGUAAACCCAUAUUGAUUAAUGGUGUGAUGGAUUCUAUGAAUGUUGUGAUAUCUAAGUAUAUGUUUGUAAAUAGUGUGAAUGUUGUGAUGGAUUUGUAGUUGAAAUGAAAUGACUGUUGUUGAUGUUACAUACACUUAUGUAUGUACAUAAAAAUAGAAUGGAAAUGUAGUUUCAGUCAUGAAAACCUUCAGGGUUGCUUGGGUAGGGUAGUCCACUGAUGGCUCAGGUUGAUCCCCUGUAGAUCAGGACAGUCUUGCUUAACUAAGUGAUUUCUGACACCCCUUUGAGUUAUCUGGAUCGGUGAGAGAGCUCCUAGUAUGAGAG